UGGGGAAUAUUGCACAAUGGGCGCAAGCCUGAUGCAGCCAUGCCGCGUGUAUGAAGAAGGCCUUCGGGUUGUAAAGUACUUUCAGUCGGGAGGAAGGUGGUAAGGUUAAUAACCUUAUCAAUUGACGAUACCGACAGAAGAAGCACCGGCUAACUCCGUGCCAGCAGCCGCGGUAAUACGGAGGGUGCAAGCGUUAAUCGGAAUUACUGGGCGUAAAGCGCACGCAGGCGGUUGAUUGAGUCAGAUGUGAAAUCCCCGGGCUUAACCCGGGAAUUGCAUGUGAUACUGGUCAGCUAGAGUAUUGUAGAGGGGAGUAGAAUUCCAUGUGUAGCGGUGAAAUGCGUAGAGAUGUGGAGGAAUACCGGUGGCGAAGGCGACCCCCUGGACGAAGACUGACGCUCAGGUGCGAAAGCGUGGGGAGCAAACAGG
rnacentral:rRNA from 1 species